AUGUUUUUCUCUUCAUCGAUCUUGUUUUCCUGGAAAGGAAUUUUAGUUCAGUCGAGCGAAUUACUUUUUUCACUGUGCCUUGCCACUCUUAGUGCAUGCAUGAAAGACCCUAAAAUGACUUCUGGUUGCCUGGGACUCCUUGGGAAAACAGAAAAGGAGCCACAAAUCUCAUUUUGGGAAAAAUCUGUUUUACUCAUGGAACCCCUGGAAUUAGAGAUUCUCCAGGUUACUGUUAUGGUUUGGAUAUGUUUGUUUGACCCAGCCCAGUCUCGUGUUGAAAUCUGAUCCCCAAUGUUGGAUGUGGGGCUUGGUGGGAGUGUUUGUGUCAUGGAGAUGGAUCUCUCAUGAAUGGCUUAGUAACAUUCCCAGGUGAGUGAGUAAGUUUUCACUCUCAGUUCCCAGGAGAACUGGUUAUUGAAAAGAGACUGGGACCUGGACCUUUCUAGCUUGCUUCCUGCCAUCAACAUAUAGCGGACUCCCCUUCACCUUCAACUGUAGAGGACUACGUGCUCGCAAACGAGACGUCCCGAUAAGUCCUGCUCUUGCAAAGGAAGCAGGGCGUUCCCGAUAAGUCCUGCUCUUGCAAAGGAAGCAGGGCGUUGGGGGCUUGUUUAUGUGUAAACAUCUUGAAAAUCCAGAAAAUCAGGGAAAGGUCAGAAAAAUAACAAUGUGUCUUGUGACUUGGCAACAUUCCACAAACGACUGUAUAAAAUAAAGCAGAGAGGGCCAUUCGAGGCAGCCGCCAUGUUUGUCUUGUCUUGUGUUGUCUUGUGUGUUCAUUCCUCUGUUUAGGAAACACGUGGACCCCAACAUUCAACCAUGACUGUAACCUUCCUGAGGCCCCUGCCGGAAGCAGAUGUUGGCAUCAGGCUUCUUGUACAGCCUGCAAAACUGUGAGUCAAAUAAACCUCCUUUCUUUAUAAAUUACCCAGCCUGAGUUAUUAAUUUUUAGCAACACAAAAAUGAACUAAGACUGUCCUUAUUUCUCUCCUUGGGAUACUUGUACCCAUACCUUGCCUCUGUAAUUAUCCCUUAUCUUUCAGACCUUGAGAUAGGUGUCACUUUCAUAUGUUCCUUGAUUCUGAAGUCCAUGGUAGAUAUCAUUCCUUCAUUUUUUCUAAUGAUAUUGUACUUUCUCUAUCAUUAGUGUAUCAUACUGUUAAUUGUUGCUCUCUGCCAUUUACCUGUAAGCUCUAUAAAUGCAGGGAUCAUGAUGGUCUUGUUAAGUGUUACACCUAAACGUCUGCAACAUUGAAGAUAAUCAGUACAUUUUAAAUAGUGCUGUUAUAAAGAAAUUUUCAAAUUUUGCCUAUGUGGGCAACUUGGUAUACAUAUUCCUUAAAGAAAUGAUUUUGGAAAAUCGUUCGCAUGCACUGCUGAUGGAAAUGUGAACUGUUUUGAUCUUUUAUGAAAGAAAUAUGGGACAAUAUAUAUGUGUACACACAAAUACGCAUAUAUUACUGUGUGCAUAUGUGUGUAUAUAAGCAUAUAUAUAUUUCUCAAUGCAGUAAGCUUAUCUGCUAAAGUAAAGCUACAAGUAGGUAAGAUUGUGCAUAAAAAAGUUGCUUACUACAGUAUUGCCUUCAGUGAUGAAAAACAAACAGCAAAAGAAAUAUGGAAUGCCUGUUAAUAGAGUAAUUGUUUAACAAUGUUACAUGAUAUCCUUGCCAUAAAAUGUCACUGACCAUUAACAAAAAUUUGUGAGAAAUAUUCCAGCUGACUUGAAAAUAUUUCACAAAGUAUUACUGAGUGAGAAAAGCAAGAUUCUGAGGGUGUGUGUUUGGUGGCUCUAAAGAAGAAUAAGAAAGAAUGUUCUCUAAGUUGGCAACUUGAUUUAACUGGUUAAUUGAAGGAGAUUGGAAAAGAUAUUGGUUGGAAGGAGAAGAACAAAACAAUAAAGGAUAAAAAGUAGAGACUGUCCCUUGUAGAACGUAUAUAAUAUAAUCAUGUUUAUCUCUUGCUCAUAAAAAAUUUUGUGCAUUCUUAUAUGUACAAUAAAACUUUUAAAUAUAAACAUGCAGUUUCCUGAAUCUGUGCUAGUCAUAUGAAGCAAUACCUAAGUAUGUACCACAGACUUAAUAAUUUAUUUGGUCCUGAUUACCCCUAGUAAAACUAAGCAAUGACUGCUGACGUUUGCCUUUCAAAAUUCUCAGAGAGAAAGACAAAAUUUCAGUCCUACUGAGUUCCCCUCAUAGUAUCCAUUACAUUCAGACAUGACUGAGAAUAUUAAAGGUGUGCAGAUAGCUGUUUGAUACUCAUUGGCUGGACACUUUAACAAGAAAGAGAAAGUGAGGUUAGGCGCGGUGGCUCAUGCCUGUAAUCCCAGCAUUUUGGGAGGCCAAGGUGGGUGGAUCACUUGAGGUCAGGAGUUUGAGACCAGCCUGUCCAACAUGGUGAAACCCAGUCUCUACUAAAAAUAAAAAAACUAGUUGGGCAUGAAGGCAUGUGUGUGUAAUCCCAGCUACUCAGAAGCCUGAGUCAAGAGAAUCACUUGGACCUAGGAUACAGAGGUUGCAGUAAACCGAGAUCACACCACUGCACUCCAGCCUAGGUGACAGAACAAGACUCUGUCUCAGAGAGAAGAAAAAAAAAAAAAAAGAAAGAAAAGGAAAAGAAAAAAAGAGAAAGGGAGAAAAAAGAAAACUAGACGGCUAAGCAAAUGUAUCUAUUUUGAUCUAGGGUCUAAAUAGGAAAAAGACAACUUUUUAUAAUCAGGGGCUCUUAAAUAUCAAAUGUAAGUGUCAAGAUGAAUACUGAAAUGUAACCUAUUUUGUAUUGUGUUUUGUGCAUCAAAUUAGAAAAAAAUUAUAGGUACUAAUUUGGUAUCCAUACUCAUUAUAUUGCUUUCUUACUAGUAACAUUUGAAAACAAAUAUCAAUUGCAUGUGUCCACACCAGAUACAAAUGUAGUUUUGAUUUGUUUUAACAGAGGACAGAAGCAAGCCUAUGAGACACAGACAACUGAACUAUGCUGAAUUUGGCAAACAGUGUUAUGGUUUCAUAGAAGAUAAAACAUUUGAGCAGGGAAUUGUAGUAGGUAGAAGUAGGGAAAAUACAGGAUCAAAUACACAUGCCCAAAAAGACAAGGAUCACAUCAGCUUUCUAGUUUACCUUACAUCCCCAAUGUCUGGCAGAGUCCCUAGUAAAUAAUCACAUUUAAGAAAUACUUGCUGAAUUAAUAAUUGAAUGAAUGACUGCAUAAAUCAAAAUGGCAUUCUAGUAAUUUACAACAUAGUAUUUAGCUAGGUCAGAGAAAUCAUUAGGAGAUAUUGAUUAUUACAAGAAUGAAUGAGAUACGAAAGUAAGACUUAGUAACAAGAAAGUACUUAGCCUCAUUUUACAACCUCUUUACUCUUUUAGCAAAAACUGAUCUAUGGAAGUUUUGCAGAAGAGAAUGGA
rnacentral:lncRNA from 1 species